CGGGGCUCACCUCUUCCCAUCCCGAACAGAGAAGUUAAGCCCGCCUGCGCAGAUGGUACUGCAAUUUUGUGGGAGAGUAUGUCGUCGCCUUUC
rnacentral:rRNA from 1 species